rnacentral:rRNA from 1 species
UACAGUGGGUGCAAGCGUUAAUCGGAAUUACUGGGCGUAAAGCGCGCGUAGGUGGUUCGUUAAGUUGGAUGUGAAAUCCCCGGGCUCAACCUGGGAACUGCAUUCAAAACUGUCGAGCUAGAGUAUGGUAGAGGGUGGUGGAAUUUCCUGUGUAGCGGUGAAAUGCGUAGAUAUAGGAAGGAACACCAGUGGCGAAGGCGACCACCUGGACCUGUACUGACGCUCAUGCACGAAAGCGUGGGGAGCAAACAGG